UGGUGAGAUAUAUAACGAAA
rnacentral:snRNA from 1 species